rnacentral:rRNA from 1 species
CGUGGGUGAUCUGCCCUGCACUUCGGGAUAAGCCUGGGAAACUGGGUCUAAUACCGGAUAGGAGCCAUUUUUAGUGUGAUGGUUGGAAAGUUUUUUCGGUGUAGGAUGAGCUCGCGGCCUAUCAGCUUGUUGGUGGGGUAAUGGCCUACCAAGGCGGCGACGGGUAGCCGGCCUGAGAGGGUGGACGGCCACAUUGGGACUGAGAUACGGCCCAGACUCCUACGGGAGGCAGCAGUGGGGAAUAUUGCACAAUGGGCGCAAGCCUGAUGCAGCGACGCCGCGUGGGGGAUGACGGCCUUCGGGUUGUAAACUCCUUUCGCUAGGGACGAAGCUUUUUGUGACGGUACCUAGAUAAGAAGCACCGGCUAACUACGUGCCAGCAGCCGCGGUAAUACGUAGGGUGCGAGCGUUGUCCGGAAUUACUGGGCGUAAAGGGCUCGUAGGUGGUUUGUCGCGUCGUCUGUGAAAUUCCGGGGCUUAACUCCGGGCGUGCAGGCGAUACGGGCAUAACUUGAGUACUGUAGGGGUAACUGGAAUUCCUGGUGUAGCGGUGAAAUGCGCAGAUAUCAGGAGGAACACCGAUGGCGAAGGCAGGUUACUGGGCAGUUACUGACGCUGAGGAGCGAAAGCAUGGGUAGCGAACAGGAUUAGAUACCCUGGUAGUCCAUGCCGUAAACGGUGGGCGCUAGGUGUGAGGGUCUUUUCACGACUUUCGUGCCGUAGCUAACGCAUUAAGCGCCCCGCCUGGGGAGUACGGCCGCAAGGCUAAAACUCAAAGGAAUUGACGGGGGCCCGCACAAGCGGCGGAGCAUGUGGAUUAAUUCGAUGCAACGCGAAGAACCUUACCUGGGCUUGACAUACACUGGAUCGGGCUAGAGAUAGUCUUUCCCUUUGUGGCUGGUGUACAGGUGGUGCAUGGUUGUCGUCAGCUCGUGUCGUGAGAUGUUGGGUUAAGUCCCGCAACGAGCGCAGCCCUUGUCUUAUGUUGCCAGCAUUUGGUUGGGGACUCAUGAGAGACUGCCGGGGUCAACUCGGAGGAAGGUGGGGAUGACGUCAAAUCAUCAUGCCCCUUAUGUCCAGGGCUUCACACAUGCUACAAUGGUCGGUACAACGCGCAGCGACACUGUGAGGUGGAGCGAAUCG